rnacentral:rRNA from 1 species
AUUGAACGCUGGCGGAAUGCUUUACACAUGCAAGUCGAACGGCAGCACGGGAGCUUGCUCCUGGUGGCGAGUGGCGAACGGGUGAGUAACAUAUCGGAACGUACCCAGUCGUGGGGGAUAACUAUCCGAAAGGAUAGCUAAUACCGCAUACGUCCUGAGGGAGAAAGCGGGGGAUCGCAAGACCUCGCGCGAUUGGAGCGGCCGAUAUCGGAUUAGCUAGUUGGUGGGGUAAAGGCUCACCAAGGCGACGAUCCGUAGCGGGUCUGAGAGGACGACCCGCCACACUGGAACUGAGACACGGUCCAGACUCCUACGGGAGGCAGCAGUGGGGAAUUUUGGACAAUGGGGCGAACCCUGAUCCAGCCAUUCCGCGUGAGUGAAGAAGGCCUCGGUUGUAAG